GAUGAAGAACGUAGCGAAAUGCGAUAAGUAAUGUGAAUUGCAGAAUUCAGUGAAUCAUCGAAUCUUUGAACGCACAUUGCGCCCCCUGGUAUUCCGGGGGGCAUGCCUGUCCGAGCGUCAUUACAACCCUCAAGCUCAGCUUGGUGUUGGGCCCCGCCGCCCCGGCGGGCCCUAAAGUCAGUGGCGGUGCCGUCCGGCUCCGAGCGUAGUAAUUCUUCUCGCUCAGGAGGUCCGGUCGUGUGCUCGCCAGCAACCCCCAAUUUUUUUCAGGUUGACCUCGGAUCAGGUAGGGAUACCCGCUGAACUUAAGCAUAUCAAUAAGCGGAGGA
rnacentral:misc_RNA from 1 species